GGGGCCCUCGAAAUCCGUCGGCGGGGGAUUCAGUCGGGAGGUGUGGGCUCGUGCGCCGGUCGUUUCUUCGGACCCUUGAAAGGGCCGGGCCGGCGUCGCAGUCUCCACGCGACCCGACGCACUUCCUCCCGCCCCAAGGACGCCGCAGCCGGUUGGGUAGCUGCGCGAGUCGGCCAUAAGGACGGGCACCGGAAGGUGGCCAGUGGCGUUCCCCCGUGUUCGUCGCUGGUCGUUAUCCAGCCCGCCCGUGGCACGACACCCGACCGAGGUCGAUGGGUCCCGGUUAGGACCUUGCCGUCCCCUCCCCCCGUGGUCGAGCGGGCGCGCCGGCAGGCGAUUCCCCUUGCGGUCGUCCCACUCUCCGAGUGGCCGGCCCUCGGGUGGCGCCGUUGGCAAGGAUGCGUCCCGCGUGGGGAUCUCGGAAGGCUUGCGGCGAGUAGGUCGGUCACCCACCCGACCCGUCUUGAAACACGGACCAAGGAGUCUAACAUGUGCGCGAGUCACGGGGUCUUGUUCAGGCCCAGAGGCGCAAUGAAAGUGAAGGCCGGCCUCGACGCCGGCCGUGUUGGGACUCUCCGCCCUUGUCGAGCGGGGAAGCACCAACGACCCGCCCU
rnacentral:rRNA from 1 species